rnacentral:rRNA from 1 species
CCCUUAGAUGUUCUGGGCCGCACGCGUGCUACACUGAGUGGAUCAGCGGGUCAGGUUGCGCGAAAGUGUUUCCUAAUCUUGAAAUCCGCUCGUGAUGGGGAUUGACGGUUGCAAUUUUUCGUCAUGAACGAGGAAUACCUUGUAAGCGCGGGUCAUCAUCCCGCGCUGAAUACGUCCCUGCCCUUUGUACACACCGCCCGUCGCUCCUACCGAUUGAGUGGUCCGGUGAGGCUUUGGGAUCUGAGCGGAAAGAGCGUUUCGCUGUUUCUGCUCGGAAAACUCAGUCGAACCUUAUCAUUUAGAGGAAGGAGAAGUCGUAACA